GUUUGCUCUGUCUUCCACACUGAAGCUCUCGGAGUUCACAUUCUUCUAACAAAUCUCAAUGAGAUUCUUCAUUUCUGUAAAGAUGCCAAAAGGCUUGCUGGCUUUCAGGGAAACUUUCAGCAUCAUCCAUCGUCUAUGUGAAUGCAUACUCGUGCAAUUAUUUUCUCGCUGCUGCAGGAGAAGACAAUGGGAAGCCACCGGCAGGAGCUACAGACCACGCCUGGCUAAGGCUGCAAAGCCUGCUUUGUAGCAGGACCAACUGGCAUCAUUUUAGAAGUUCCUCCAGCCGUGUUUGGCAGCCUGGGAGCAGGAACAGAGAUAAUGAGUGGUUGGCUUUCCUCAGGGCCAGGGAUUUGUGGCAGAAAAUCAAGGG
rnacentral:lncRNA from 1 species